CCUACGGGAGACAGCAGUGAGGAAUAUUGGUCAAUGGACGCAAGUCUGAACCAGCCAUGCCGCGUGCAGGAAGACGGCUCUAUGAGUUGUAAACUGCUUUUGUACGAGGGUAAAUCCCGAUACGUGUAUCGGGUUGAAAGUAUCGUACGAAUAAGGAUCGGCUAACUCCGUGCCAGCAGCCGCGGUAAUACGGAGGAUUCAAGCGUUAUCCGGAUUUAUUGGGUUUAAAGGGUGCGUAGGCGGUUCGAUAAGUUAGAGGUGAAAUCCCGGGGCUCAACUCCGGCACUGCCUCUGAUACUGGCAGUCUAGAGUUUAGUUGCAGUAGGCGGAAUGUAUGGUGUAGCGGUGAAAUGCAUAGAGAUCGUACAGAACACCGAUUGCGAAGGCAGCUUACCAAACUACGACUGACGUUGAGGCACGAAAGCGUGGGGAGCGAACAGGAUUAGAUACCCCAGUAGUC
rnacentral:rRNA from 1 species